UUGUUUUGGCAGCAAUAUACUAAAAUUGGAACAUACAGAGAAGAUUAGCAUGGCCCCUGCUCAAGGAUGACACGCGAAUUCAUGAAACGUUCCAUAUUUUU
rnacentral:snRNA from 1 species